ACAAUUUAUAUUUUUCUUGGUAUCAGCACCGUUUGAUUCUAAACAAACUAACCUUCGAAUUUCAUUGGCCGGACAAUUUUUUUCUUGGAAGACACCCGAGCACGUGCUAAACAAUUGAGAUCCUUCAAAGCUGAUCUCCAAAAAAUGAAGAAAGAGAAGAAAGAAGCAGAACUAAAGCGCCUUGAAGCUCUGAAGCUGGAGAGACAGAAGAGAAUUGCAUCUCGAGGAAGUUCCACCUCUGCCAAGUGCCAAAUCAUCACUGCCCUCACCUCAAACAAAGAAAUUGCCAUAAAAAAUUACUCCCAUCACUAAUAGAGGAACCAAAUUCAGUAACUCGGAAGCUGGGUCAUCAUCACCCUUGCAAAGAUCCAAAGUCAGAACUUCAAUUGGAUCCAGCCCCAUGGACAGCUUUCUCUUGGAUACUGCUUCUGCACUUCGGGCUUUCAUCAAAGUAACAUAAUGACUGUUGAUUAUUUUGGGCUCUGAUAAUCUUCUAAUCCGAGCCAUGGAGGCCUUGGAAUCCAGUGUAACAACAUUGCUACAGCCGUCAAGAUGGAGGCAAUAAUAGCGGCUGCUGGUGGUGUCGAAGUGGUAGAGGUGGUGGUGGAUUGAUAAGCUAGCAGCUGCGGUUGCAGAUUUGAAUUAUCUUCAUAGAAAUGCACAGAUGGCUGGUCGGGCCUCAGUUGAGCUACGUACACUCAUUUAUUUCAGAAAAACGCCCGCAAAUGCCGAGGCCAGAAUAGUGAAAUUAAGAUCAAAUUGCUUCAUUGUUUUUGUACCCAAAUUUGGUAUUGAAGGACCCGUUUAUUUGAUGCCGGGAGCUGACAAGAUGGUAGAAUGGUUUAUCGACGAGCAAAAUUGAUGGCAGUGUUUCUUAUAGUGUUUUACAGACUCUGAGAAUAUACACAAUGUGGCAACCCCUCAACCUAACAAGGAGAAGCUUCAACUUACCCUUAUAUGAAAAGACAAAUGGGACCACAAGGUUGGUGAAAAAGAUGAAGCCUCCUUGCCAGGCAAUGUAGAGUAAUUUAUAAGCAAAUAAGCAACAUACUGAGUUAUAAAUUAUUGUUAUUUUUUUCUUUGUUUAGGAAAUUCACUUUCUUGUUUCCUGAGACAGCGCCAUUGUAUAGUUAGUUUGGUGUUCUUCCUAGCAGUUGACAGUAUUUAUCAUCAUGCUUGCGACUCCCUGAAGAAUAGCUAUAGAUUUACAUUUCUUUUUUA